GACGUACGCUGGCGGCGUGCCUAAUACAUGCAAGUAGAACGCUGAAGAGAGGAGCUUGCUCUUCUUGGAUGAGUUGCGAACGGGUGAGUAACGCGUAGGUAACCUGCCUGGUAGCGGGGGAUAACUAUUGGAAACGAUAGCUAAUACCGCAUAAUAGUAGAUGUUGCAUGACAUUUGCUUAAAAGGUGCAAUUGCAUCACUACCAGAUGGACCUGCGUUGUAUUAGCUAGUUGGUGAGGUAACGGCUCACCAAGGCAACGAUACAUAGCCGACCUGAGAGGGUGAUCGGCCACACUGGGACUGAGACACGGCCCAGACUCCUACGGGAGGCAGCAGUAGGGAAUCUUCGGCAAUGGACGGAAGUCUGACCGAGCAACGCCGCGUGAGUGAAGAAGGUUUUCGGAUCGUAAAGCUACUGUUGUAAGAGAAGAAAGCAGUGUGAGAGUGGAAACGUUACUACACUAGUGACCGGAUUCCUAUAUCCAGAAC
rnacentral:rRNA from 1 species